rnacentral:rRNA from 1 species
CUUCGGGGUGGAUUAGUGGCGAACGGGUGAGUAACACGUGGGCAAUCUGCCCUUCACUCUGGGACAAGCCCUGGAAACGGGGUCUAAUACCGGAUAACACUCUGUCCCGCAUGGGACGGGGUUGAAAGCUCCGGCGGUGAAGGAUGAGCCCGCGGCCUAUCAGCUUGUUGGUGGGGUAAUGGCCUACCAAGGCGACGACGGGUAGCCGGCCUGAGAGGGCGACCGGCCACACUGGGACUGAGACACGGCCCAGACUCCUACGGGAGGCAGCAGUGGGGAAUAUUGCACAAUGGGCGAAAGCCUGAUGCAGCGACGCCGCGUGAGGGAUGACGGCCUUCGGGUUGUAAACCUCUUUCAGCAGGGAAGAAGCGAAAGUGACGGUACCUGCAGAAGAAGCGCCGGCUAACUACGUGCCAGCAGCCGCGGUAAUACGUAGGGCGCAAGCGUUGUCCGGAAUUAUUGGGCGUAAAGAGCUCGUAGGCGGCUUGUCACGUCGGAUGUGAAAGCCCGGGGCUUAACCCCGGGUCUGCAUUCGAUACGGGCUAGCUAGAGUGUGGUAGGGGAGAUCGGAAUUCCUGGUGUAGCGGUGAAAUGCGCAGAUAUCAGGAGGAACACCGGUGGCGAAGGCGGAUCUCUGGGCCAUUACUGACGCUGAGGAGCGAAAGCGUGGGGAGCGAACAGGAUUAGAUACCCUGGUAGUCCACGCCGUAAACGUUGGGAACUAGGUGUUGGCGACAUUCCACGUCGUCGGUGCCGCAGCUAACGCAUUAAGUUCCCCGC